rnacentral:rRNA from 1 species
AUGCAUGUUGUCGAUCUCCAUGAAGGUGGCGCUCGGUACACAUGCGAAUGCGGCUUGUUUGAGCACAUGGGGAUGCUUUGUUGCCAUGCUAUCAAGGUUCUUCUUCAUUUGGGGGUGCGGAAGAUACCUAGCUUUCAUGUAAUGAAGCGAUGGACAAUAGAUGCCCGUGACAACUUGCCGCUUCACCUCAUCCAUUACCAGAAAGAUGAAGUCCCUUCGCGGUUGUCAUCCUACCGGCAUACUGCACUACACCUGACAGCACUCGAGUUUGUGCAACUCGGUGACACAAUGUUGAUGCAUUCGAUAGAGCCAUGGACAUUUUAA